CUUCCGUAGGGUGAACCUGCGGAAGGAUCAUUACCGAGUGCGGGUCCUUUGGGCCCAACCUCCCAUCCGUGUCUAUUGUACCCUGUUGCUUCGGCGGGCCCGCCGCUUGUCGGCCGCCGGGGGGGCGCCUCUGCCCCCCGGGCCCGUGCCCGCCGGAGACCCCAACACGAACACUGUCUGAAAGCGUGCAGUCUGAGUUGAUUGAAUGCAAUCAGUUAAAACUUUCAACAAUGGAUCUCUUGGUUCCGGCAUCGAUGAAGAACGCAGCGAAAUGCGAUAACUAAUGUGAAUUGCAGAAUUCAGUGAAUCAUCGAGUCUUUGAACGCACAUUGCGCCCCCUGGUAUUCCGGGGGGCAUGCCUGUCCGAGCGUCAUUGCUGCCCUCAAGCCCGGCUUGUGUGUUGGGUCGCCGUCCCCCUCUCCGGGGGGACGGGCCCGAAAGGCAGCGGCGGCACCGCGUCCGAUCCUCGAGCGUAUGGGGCUUUGUCACAUGCUCUGUAGGAUUGGCCGGCGCCUGCCGACGUUUUCCAACCAUUCUUUCCAGGUUGACCUCGGAUCAGGUAGGGAUACCCGCUGAACUUAAGCAUAUCAAUAAGCGGAGGAA
rnacentral:rRNA from 2 species